CGACUGGACCGCUCGAUGCGAGCGAAUCACGCGGCCACCAGGUGAUGUCUGGUCGGGUGAAGAAAGGGCACACGCUAGACGAUAGAAAAAAUACCCGAUCCAUCCCAUUCCUCUGUCCACCCUCUCCCCCCACAUUCCCACCGGCGCCUCCCGCAAAACAAGGCCCACGUCCGAUCUGAUGGCGUCGGUCGAAGACCAAGCCAGUGCCGCUGAUCUGCUGGGCGGCGACGGCGACCCGGCGGCGUUCAACACGCUGCUUUUGACGCUCAUGUCGGCCUCCAACGCCGACCGCGUCGCCGCGCCGGCCUUCCAGCGCCUCCGCGGCUCCCACCCGGAGCCCCUCGCUCUGCGUCUCGCCUGGUCGCCCGCGGCGAGGACCACUCCCGCUGAGCUCUGUGCUAUGGCUGCGCGUCCUCCUCUGCAAGCUCCUGUCGAUCCUGCCCAUCAGCGAGGCCGUCUUUCCGGACGCCGGGUUCGUCAAGGUGCUGAUGAGUCGGACUGCACCUGCGUUGGCCAGAGACGGCGUCGGCCACGGGUACAAGGGGUUCGUGUACACAUGCUGAAUCGCUGAUGUAUGUAUCCUGGAGUGCUAGUGUGGAUUGAGUUUUCUUGGUCUAUAAAAGUACAACUUCGAGUGUUA
rnacentral:rRNA from 1 species